rnacentral:misc_RNA from 1 species
CAAAUUGCGCUCGAGGCUUCGGCCAAGAGCAUGUCUGCCUCAGCGUCAGGCUAAUACUCACAUUUACACUUCAUCCAGAGUGCCCUUGGGGGUCUGGCUGUCUCGGUUUAUUUUAUUUAAUUAACCGGGUCAGCUGAAGUGCAGAUGUCAAGGCAUGGAUGGUUAGAUCGGGCCUCUACUGGGUAUGCAACUUGUUUGCUGUUUUGCUUUAGUAGAUGGCUUGGGUACUGUCUUUGGCACGAAGCAGGAGUAUCUGUUCAUACAGGUACAACCAAUACCAUUUUCUCGACCUGAGCUCAGGCAAGAUUACCCGCUGAACUUAA